CUGGCGGCGUGCCUAACACAUGCAAGUCGCACGAGAAAGUGGAGCAAUCCAUGAGUAAAGUGGCGCACGGGUGAGUAACACGUGAAUGAUCUACCUCCGAGUGGGGAAUAACCUAGAGAAAUCUGGGCUAAUACCGCAUAACACUUACGAGUCAAAGCAGCAAUGCGCUUGGAGAGGAGUUCGCGGCCGAUUAGUUAGUUGGCGGGGUAAUGGCCCACCAAGACGAUGAUCGGUAUCCCGCCUGAGAGGGCGCACGGACACACUGGAACUGAAACACGGUCCAGACUCCUACGGGAGGCAGCAGUGGGGAAUUUUGCGCAAUGGGGGAAACCCUGACGCAGCAACGCCGCGUGGAGGAUGAAAUCCCUUGGGAUGUAAACUCCUUUCGAUCGGGACGAUUAUGACGGUACCGGAAGAAGAAGCCCCGGCUAACUUCGUGCCAGCAGCCGCGGUAAUACGAGGGGGGCAAGCGUUGUUCGGAAUUAUUGGGCGUAAAGGGCGCGUAGGCGGUUUGACAAGUCUGAUGUGAAAUCUG
rnacentral:rRNA from 1 species